UUGACCACUCUCAUUCAAACACCCUUCUCUCGGCCUCCCUUCUCUUUCCAUCCUUCCUUCACCAAACCUGAAACAAAAAUAAUCCUCUCUUCAUCUCUCUAUUCUCUCUCAUCCAUCCUCUCCGAAGCAAAAAAAAAUCCUCUCUUCACCAAACCAAAGUUCUCUCUCUCUCUCUCCAAAGAGUGAGAUCUCACUCGCACUCCGAAGCAAAAAAAAUAGAGGUCUGUGUGGAAUCUGUUGCCAUGGAUCCGUUGAGAUGAUAUUGCGGUCACCACUAGAUAAACGCCUCAACCAGCUACGGAAGAGGACAUCCCUCCGCUCACCUUGUUACUCACUUGCUCCCACCGCAUCGGCUAAGGAAAUGAGUGCCGAUUUCCAGGUUUUUGUUUCAGCAGAUGAAUCGGUUUCGUAUCGGCAAAAAGACCCCCUGAAACUCGUGGUUCUCGCUGAUGUAUCGUGCCGUCUCCCAGUCGUCGACAAUGACACAAUUUCCCCUAGGAAGAACCUGCUUGUACCAUGCUACGUACUAUGGACAUUCCGUUUGUCUGCAAGCCAUUCUAGUUGCUGCUCAGUCAAUUGAAGUUGCAGAUUCUUUCUUCAUUUGGUGGUUCGAGGGGGCUCUUUAGAUUGUUUGCGUGAGUUGCUUUCAUGGGGAGCAAUCAGCUUCAAAGAGAUUCUUCUGGGUUGAAUGCAUUUAUAAGGAAUAACAACAUACAUGGAUGAAGAGAUUUGAGAUCAAUAUUUUUUAUUUUUGUUGUGGGUUAUUAUAUGUAACAUGGCAAAUUGCCACAUUUGAAACAUUUUUUACUUGUUGAUGU